rnacentral:rRNA from 1 species
AUUGAACGCUGGCAGCAGGCCUAACACAUGCCAGUCGAGCGGAGCGGCGGACGGGUGAGUAAUGCCUAGGAAUCUGCCUGGUAUUGGGGGAUAACGUCCGGAAACGUGCGCUAAUAUCGCAUACUCUCAGGUGAGCCUAGGUCGGAUUAGCUGGUUGGUGGGGUAAAGGCCUACCAAGGCUACGAUCCGUAACUGGUCUGAGAGGAUGAUCAGUCACACGGGAACUGAGACACGGUCCAGACUCCUACGGGAGGCAGGAGUGGGGAAUAUUGGACAAUGGGCGAAAGCCGGAUACAGCCAGGCCGCGGGUGGGAAGAAGGUCUUCGGAUUGUAAAGCACUUUAAGUUGGGAGGCGUUACCAACAGAAUAAGCACCGGCUAACUUCGUGCCAGCAGCCGCGGUAAUAC